UACGUAGGAUGCGAGCGUUAUCCGGAUUUAUUGGGUUUAAAGGGUGCGUAGGCGGCCUGCCAAGUCAGCGGUAAAAUUGCGGGGCUCAACCCCGUACAGCCGUUGAAACUGCCGGGCUCGAGUGGGCGAGAAGUAUGCGGAAUGCGUGGUGUAGCGGUGAAAUGCAUAGAUAUCACGCAGAACCCCGAUUGCGAAGGCAGCAUACCGGCGCCCUACUGACGCUGAGGCACGAAAGUGCGGGGAUCAAACAGG
rnacentral:rRNA from 1 species